rnacentral:misc_RNA from 1 species
AACGCACAUUGCGCCCUUUGGCAUUCCGAGGGGCAUGCCCGUUCGAGCGUCAUUACACCAAUCAAGCCUGGCUUGGUAUUGGGCGAGGGGCUUCAUCGCCCCCGCCCCUAAUUCGUCGGCUGGACGGUUCGAUUCUCAGCGUUGUGGUCAAUCAAUUCGCUGCGGGAGACGACCGGACGCGCCGUUAAACCUCUCAUCACAGGUUGACCUCGGAUCGGGUAGGGAUACCCGCUGAACUUAA